rnacentral:rRNA from 1 species
GAACCCCCUGCCUAACCAUGCAGUCGAGCGGUUGACGGGAGCUUGCUCCCUGAUUCAGCGGCGGACGGGUGAGUAAUGCCUAGGAAUCUGCCUAUUAGUGGGGGACAACGUUUCGAAAGGAACGCUAAUACCGCAUACGUCCUACGGGAGAAAGCAGGGGACCUUCGGGCCUUGCGCUAAUAGAUGAGCCUAGGUCGGAUUAGCUAGUUGGUGGGGUAAAGGCUCACCAAGGCGACGAUCCGUAACUGGUCUGAGAGGAUGAUCAGUCACACUGGAACUGAGACACGGUCCAGACUCCUACGGGAGGCAGCAGUGGGGAAUAUUGGACAAUGGGCGAAAGCCUGAUCCAGCCAUGCCGCGUGUGUGAAGAAGGUCUUCGGAUUGUAAAGCACUUUAAGUUGGGAGGAAGGGUUGUAGAUUAAUACUCUGCAAUUUUGACGUUACCGACAGAAUAAGCACCGGCUAACUCUGUGCCAGCAGCCGCGGUAAUACAGAGGGUGCAAGCGUUAAUCGGAAUUACUGGGCGUAAAGCGCGCGUACGUGGUUUGUUAAGUUGGAUGUGAAAGCCCCGGGCUCAACCUGGGAACUGCAUCCAAAACUGGCAAGCUAGAGUACAGUAGAGGGUGGUGCGAUUUCCUGUGUAGCGGUGAAAUGCGUAGAUAUACGAGGGAACACGCAGUGACCGAACGCGGCCAUCCUGGACUGAUAC